rnacentral:misc_RNA from 1 species
UUUCCGUAGGUGAACCUGCGGAAGGAUCAUUAUUGUAUAACCGAGGUGCGAGGGCUGUCGCUGACCCGAAAGGUCGUGCACGCCCGAGUGCCCUCACGCACAUCCAUCUUACCCCUAUGUGCACCACCGCGUGGGUCCCCCUUUGGCUUGUUCGGAGGGGGGCUUACGUUUUCACACAAACUUUGUAUGCAGUGUAGAAUGUAUUUUUUGUUUUUGCGAUCACGCAAUCAAUACAACUUUCAACAACGGAUCUCUUGGCUCUC